rnacentral:rRNA from 1 species
AUUGAACGCUGGCGGCAGGCUUAACACAUGCAAGUCGAGCGGAGACUUCGGUCUUAGCGGCGAACGGGCGAGUAAUACCUAGGAAUCUGCCUAUUAGUGGGGGAUAACGAAUCGAAAGGUUCGCUAAUACCGCAUACGUCCUACGGGAGAAAGGGGGGAGUCUUCGGACCUCUCGCUAAUAGAUGAGCCUAGGCCGGAUUAGCUAGUUGGUAGGGUAAAGGCCUACCAAGGCGACGAUCUGUAGCUGGUCUGAGAGGAUGGCCAGCCACACUGGAACUGAGACACGGUCCAGACUCCUACGGGAGGCAGCAGUGGGGAAUAUUGGACAAUGGGGGCAACCCUGAUCCAGCCAUGCCGCGUGUGUGAAGAAGGCCUUCGGUUG